UACGGAGGGAGCUAGCGUUGUUCGGAAUUACUGGGCGUAAAGCGCACGUAGGCGGCUUUGUAAGUUAGAGGUGAAAGCCCGGAGCUCAACUCCGGAACUGCCUUUAAGACUGCAUCGCUUGAAUCCAGGAGAGGUGAGUGGAAUUCCGAGUGUAGAGGUGAAAAUUCGUAGAUAUUCGGAAGAACACCAGUGGCGAAGGCGGCUCACUGGACUGGUAUUGACGCUGAGGUGGCGAAAAGCG
rnacentral:rRNA from 1 species